AGUGAACGCUGGCGGUAGGCCUAACACAUGCAAGUCGAACGGCAGCACAGUAAGAGCUUGCUCUUACGGGUGGCGAGUGGCGGGCGGGUGAGGAAUACAUCGGAAUCUACUUUUUCGUGGGGGAUAACGUAGGGAAACUUACGCUAAUACCGCAUACGACCUACGGGUGAAAGCAGGGGAUCUUCGGACCUUGCGCGAUUGAAUGAGCCGAUGUCGGAUUAGCUAGUUGGCGGGGUAAAGGCCCACCAAGGCGACGAUCCGUAGCUGAUCUGAGAGGAUGAUCAGCCACACUGGAACUGAGACACGGUCCAGACUCCUACGGGAGGCAGCAGUGGGGAAUAUUGGACAAUGGGCGCAAGCCUGAUCCAGCCAUACCGCGUGGGUGAAGAAGGCCUUCGGGUUGUAAAGCCCUUUUGUUGGGAAAGAAAAGCAGCAGGUUAAUACCCCGCUGUUCUGACGGUACCCAAAGAAUAAGCACCGGCUAACUUCGUG
rnacentral:rRNA from 1 species